CGAACGACUCUCGGCAACGGAUAUCUCGGCUCUCGCAUCGAUGAAGAACGUAGCGAAAUGCGAUACUUGGUGUGAAUUGCAGAAUCCCGUGAACCAUCGAGUCUUUGAACGCAAGUUGCGCCCGAGGCCACCAGGUCGAGGGCACGUCUGCCUGGGCGUCACGU
rnacentral:rRNA from 1 species